AUCCUUUUGUGAUUCGUAAGUAUGAUGAUUGGGGUUUCAUGCUGAUGUCUGAGAUGUGCUUCCCUCAAACCUUGUUAAAAUGUUGGCAUAUUACUUGCCUGAUG